rnacentral:tRNA from 1 species
GGAACUAUGGCUUAAUGAUAGAGUGCUUGCCUGGCGUGCAUGAAGCCCUGGGUUCAAAUCCUCAGUACCA